rnacentral:rRNA from 1 species
AUACGGAGGGUGCAAGCGUUAAUCGGAAUUACUGGGCGUAAAGCGUACGUAGGCGGUUCGUUAAGUUAGAUGUGAAAGCCCCGGGCUUAACCUGGGAACUGCAUUUAAAACUGGCGAACUAGAGUUGAGUAGAGGGGAGUGGGAUUUCAGGUGUAGCGGUGAAAUGCGUAGAGAUCUGAAGGAACACCAGUGGCGAAGGCGACUCCCUGGACUCGAACUGACGCUGAGGUACGAAAGCGUGGGUAGCAAACGGGAUUAGAUACCCGAGUAGUCC